rnacentral:sRNA from 1 species
GCCAGGUGUGGUGGUGUACGCCUAUAAUCCCAGAGACUUGGGAGGCUGAGGCAGGAGGAUCUCAAGUUUCUAAGCCAGUUUCAGCGACUUAAUGAGACUCUGUCUCAA